UACAGAGGGUGCGAGCGUUGUCCGGAAUCACUGGGCGUAAAGGGCGCGUAGGUGGCGCGACAAGUCAGUGGUGAAAGUUCGACGCUCAACGUCGAAUCGGCCACUGAUACUGUUGGGCUUGAGCACUGUAGAGGCUAAUGGAAUUCCGGGUGUAGCGGUGGAAUGCGUAGAGAUCCGGAAGAACACCGGUGGCGAAGGCGGCCCGCUGGGCUGUUGCUGACGCUGAGGCGCGACAGCGUGGGGGAGCAAACAGG
rnacentral:rRNA from 1 species